GAGUUUUGGAAUUUCAAAAUAUAACUUGAUCCCCUCCCCUCAUCAUGACUCAUCCUAGUGUGGCAGUGACGACUGUCUACACCGUCCAUGCACCAGUGCAUCCUCUUCUGUGUGGGCCAAUAAAAAGGUUAAAAGCCGUCGAAAAAAAAAUCACACAACACAAACACACGACGUUCUGAAUACAUGGGACCAAAGGCAAAGCAAGGAAAAAACUACUAUCAUAUUUUCGAAUAAAGAAGUGCCAAUUAUACAGGGAUAAAGUACUUAAGUUGUUACUCAACUGAAGACAGGACGCCUCUUCCAACAUUUCAUGAUAUCUAUAUUACAAAUAUAAGUUAUAAACUUACCAUUUCGUAAAAUUGGUGAAGACGACAGGCAAUAUUUUUUUCAAGUAUCACUUCUGCUCUUGAUGACGUCAUCAAAAAAUAUUGGACAAGCUGGCAGAGGCGAAAGUUCUUCUUGAUUGCUGUUUUUUUCAUACUUUAAGAUGGCGGAUACGUACAAAAGUUUGGGCAACGAUGGCCAACCUCAGCAAGCAUCACCUCCACCUCCACAAAAAGAAACGGGUUUUUGUUUCAGGCUUUUCGUAAGGAUUGUUGCUUCUGUAGCUGGAGUGUUGGCUAUUAUUCUUGGACUGGUAUCUAUGAUCUCAAUCAAAGGACUGUGCAUUGUUGCAGGUAUCUACAUCAUGCUUCUUGGAUUCCUGACGAUUCUAUUAGAAGCCCCGUUUUGCUGCCAGUUCCUUGACAUCACAGACAAAGUCAGCAAAUGGAGCGAAAACAGAGCUCCUUGGCAGAAGGCUCUCUUCUAUCUCUUGUUACCUAUUGUGCCGUUCUUCUUCUGCGUUGGAGUUAGUCAAAUUUUUGCCUGCCUUGUAAUCAUGGCGACUGGCGUUCUCUAUGGACUGGUGUUCAUUGGAAAGAAGGGUGAUGCUGUUAAGAAUGCCCACAGAGCCCAGCAGCCUGGAGGAGACAUGGCGUUAUCAGACCCUCCAUCCCAGGAUCAGUACGGCAAGAGAGAACUCAUCCCUUGAACUGACAUUGAGGGCGCUAGACUUACCAGCCGACAACGGCACAUUCCACCCUCCAAUACACAGCCUCACAUAACGCAUGGGUAGCGUUCCAUGAAACAAGUAUUUUAUGUUUUUCACUGACAAUUGUUAUAAGCUACUGAUAUCCGUGCAUCUGAUUGGCUGAGAACAAAUUAGUGAGUGAAAAUCACUGACUGUUUGAUUCAUGAAGCUUUCCCCCUGGACCAUUCUGCUUUUAUCAUUCCACUUUUUUUUUCUGCUGCUCAGGUCUAUUGAAGUCCAUAAAAAUUUGUAUUUUAAAGUCCAGAGUAUUAUACUUACAUCAACAUGCCUGAAGAAUCUAUUCCAAUUUUUCUUUUGUUUGCACAUCGGCCAUGAUUUUGUAUACAUGUUUUUUAUUGUUUUAUCUUUAUCUUUACAUUGGACGCAAGCAAUCUCUGCGCAAGCCCAUUGUGGACCGGCUUCAACAUCCAAAAAUGUCAGCACACACUCAUGUGGCGACAAUCGUGCAUAGUAUUUUGGCCUCCGUUUACUUGAGACAUUGUAGAAAAUUAUGGCUUUGUACAAGAAAAUUAAGAAGCAUGAAAAUUGACAAUCCAAUCUCUAUUCAUAGUUCAAUAUAAUAUGUUAAGGUUUGGAAAUCAGUGCAAAUUGAUAGCAGUAAAGUAUUUUAGUUGUUGGGAACUUGCAAAUUCUUGAUUUCUAAUCAUUUUAAUUUUUUUUGUCCAGUUCUCUACAAAAUCGUGGAAUACGGGAUUCAAGUUUAUUAGUAAUAUGCCAUUAGAAAUUGGCGCCACCCAUCAAGAUAAAAUCCUGUAAUGUUUUUGGCUUUUUAAGAGUUCAGAUGUUGGAAAGUUUGCAGGCUCUAGUGAAUGUUUAUUAUUGAAUUUGGUAACAUCUAUGUAUUCAGGCUGUUGGUAACUGAAGACUUGUGCAAUAUACUAAUACUCACUGUAAAAUUGAGUAACUUUUGAAUCACUGCACUGAGUUGGAUAAAAAUGAUAUUUUGAAUGUGCAUCUGUAUGAUUUGCACAUUGAUCUGAGCUUUAAUUCAACAUUUAACAUGCCCGAUCAUUUCAUUUUCCUUUUCUUCAUUUAUGAUUUUUAAUUUUCAUAAUGCAUCAUUGUUUAAUUCUUAUUUAUUAUCUUCCCUUUUGAUUAGAUUGUUUGUAGAUUUUUUGAAAGUAUAUGGAUAGAUUAUUUGUUGCCAAUAUGCAUAGGAUGAAAAAAAAAUUUAACUUCAUAUAUCAUAAGGCAAUUUGACAAUUUAGUAAUCUUCAACAUGUCACCACUUUUGGUAAUUACCAGAAAACUUUCACCUAUAGAAAAGAUAUGUCUACUUCCAUCUGUGUUCUCCCCAUUAGUUAAUUUUGUGUGUUCUUUGCAUAAGAAACAAGAAUAAGUGCAAGACCUCAUUUACAACUCAAGUUAAGGAGUGCUUGGAACUAUAUGAUUACCAAAGUGAUGCAAAUGCAGUUAUUUGAACAGUAUGUUAAUUAUAUGAGGCAUUAAUUCCCACUCUGAAAUGAAUUUUAUCUUUGAAAAAUAUUUAUAUUCACAAAAAUAAGUGAAAUAAUCAGCAGUGUGAAUAUUAAAGCUGCUGUUUUUGAUCUAAUUGUAUCACCAGAUUGGGCACAUGUUAAUUAUAUCAUUGGCCAUAUUAACAGUGUGGAAUACCCUUUUUCUUUUCAAGGGUAAUGUCAUGCUUUAAACCAGCUGCAAGGAAAUUGGCCGUAGUUAGAAGAGUAAUUUAUUUGAAAAGGGAAUUCUACCCCCAUUGAACCACCAACUUCCAACCUUCUUUUAUCUUCAUUCUUUGAAGCUUUUUAUUCUUCUAAAUUCAAUUAUGUUCUUGGGCGGGUUAUCAAUUUUAACAAAAUAUAUCAUCUUAAAGUUUAGGCCUGAAAAGAAAAUUGUUUGUGGUAACGGAGGGGCGGGCGAGGGGUAAUGGGUCAGUCAUUUUUUUUUUUCAAUCGAGAUUGAGUGCACACUAGAUAUAUAGUGCACUUAAAUGUAGGCAAAGCAAGGAUUAUUUGGGUCGGUCAGCAUAUUUUUUCUUUUUUUUUCUUUGGGGGGGUCAAAUUUGAGUAAAGAAAAAAAAAGUCGGCAGGUUUGGCUAGGGUCGGUCUGGUUACAGCACAUUUUUUUUUAUAUGUCCUUUUCAAGCUCAAUGAAAGUCUCAAAAUUAAUUUUGGGCCACUUAUUGUUAGUUUUGAGAUGGCAGAAUAUCUCAAAAUUCAUUUUGGGCCACUUAUUGUUAGUUUUGGGAUGGCAGUUCACAUAUGGCACUGAUAUUACAUGCUUUUCGUUUGCCUCAGUCCAGAGCAUAGUAGUGCGAUGUUCCAGCAAGUUCACAUACAACUUGAUUCACGAAAAUGCUUGUUGUACAGUACGAUGCUUGACACAAUGUUGUUCAGACUCUGUAAUUGUUGCACUUGCUGUAUAUAUAUUCACUUAUUAAUAUGUUGCAGGCAACAAGGUAAAAAUCUUGAUACAAGGAAACACAAAUGCUAAAUACUAUUGUACCAUUGGAUGCCAGGCACGUUUCUGUAAAGACUUACUUUGUAAUACUUGCUUAUUUAGCAUGUUGUUAGCAACAAGUUGCUGUACUCCAGUACAAAAGAAUCUUUUACGGUGUACCACAAACUGAUGUAUACCAUUACUAAUGUGUAUGCAAUCCGUAACAGGUGGUAUGCAACAAAUUGCCCAACCCAGUACAUGAAAAAUGCAGUUGGCCCACUUGCUGCAGAAAAAAAUGCCAUGAAUUAAUUGUUGCUUAUCAAUUGAGCAUGUUGUAAGCAACAAUAUGUCCAGUCUCAAUGUGUGGAAACAUUGUUGUACUAAAUGUCGCUCAGUGCAAAUUAUUUGAAAUCAUAUGAUAUGUCAGAGUCAGUAUUAAAGUGGAACUGUGUCUUUUAGUGGGAUAUUGUAUAAAUACAUAUUUUAAACAGUUGUUUGUUGUGUUUAAAGAUGUGCAAUCCGCUUUGUCAGAAAAUCAAUGGUUAAUUUCAAAAUCGUCUCUUUACGUCAUAGAUUAUACAAAGAGUAUUCUGUGAGAGAUAUAUAUAUUUACUUGUAUACCUGUGUGCCAGUAAUGCAGAAUUAAAAAAAAGAAAGAUCUAUUCCAUUCCACACUUUAUUUCCUCAAUUACAAAACGUAAUUUGCUGCAAUAUACAUGUAUGGUCAGUAGAAUCCACUUGGCAUUGCAACUAUUAUUUAAACUAUAGUAUUGCUUUUCUAAAAUUCAAAAUUUAACUUGAAGAUUAAAUUCCACAUUGGUACUUCUUAAAUAUAAUGUUUCUGUGUUUAUGCCAAAAUUAGUUUUUGGAUUGGUUUGUUGUACUAGAUUUUAUAAGUCUAAAUGUUUUGUAGAAAAGAGUGGUCGACCAACAUGUAAUUAGAGUAUACAGUAUGUAAGUAUUCAUAUUUAUAAAUAUAUCAUAUUAUAUCUGUUUUGUAUUCUAGCUUGUAUAUUUCAUAUAAAUAGCAUAGAUGUAUUGUGAUAGUGAUUUUUGUUAUAUUAUUAUAUGUGAGAGGUGUAUCUUUGCCCAGGGGGGGGGGGCAGUCAAAUAUAUUUUGCUGUACACAUGCGCGACCAAAAACCAUGUUUAAAGGGGUGUUUUUUCAGUUUUGGACGCGGGCCGCGCGUGGACUCGUUAAGGGUAUCAAAAACACUGAUUUUAAAAAAAAAGGGUGGUUUGAAAGACUGGUCAAUGUCACUUGCGGGAUCAAACGUAUUUAGGGUAUGUUUUUUUUCCCCCAAAGCUUUUUUUUAAGACUAGCCAAACGUGUUUAGGGUAUGUUUUUUUCCCCAAGCUUUUUCCCCGAGUUCAUAUUUUGGCGACAUCUUAUUUAGGGGCCAAAAUGUGUAAAUAAAGCCCACAGAAAACUUUAGGGGAUUAUUUUGAACACACAGAAAAACUCGUUUAGGGGGUGUUUGGAAAUUUCUUGGUCACACGUGUGUACAGCAAUAUAUUUGACUGGCCCCCCCCCCCCCCGGAUCUUUGCUGCAGGCUACCCUACUUGCUUUACAAUGACUCUGUAUCAGAUAUGUUGAAGAGGAUAAUGUUGAUUGUUAAGUCUAGUAGAAAUGUUAUUGCAAUCGUCUUUCUGCAUUUGUAAUUUGGUCAUACAAUGGUGACUAUAUUACGUUAAAGCUUGCUAUUUUUUGAUCCAGUAAUUUUAUUGCUUUGUUACAGGAAGUGCGAUAUGAUGAAAAGUGCAAACAAGCGUAGACUAAUUAAUAUAUGGAGAGCAAUCUGUAGUCCCAAUAUUUAGGACCAAUGAUGAGCAUCAUACAAGCCAGUUUGGUGUACUAGUCUAGUUUGCUUUUAAUCGACACUUAAUCAGUGAGAAUCCCAGUUUCGAAGAACCUUUAAUUCAGACCAUGAUUGUGUUCAAUCAAUUUUUCAUCGGUCAUAAGAGCAAAUGUCUUUCAAAACGUAAACAUGAAUCGUUGUAAAAGAAAAAUUUUGGAAGACAAUAUGGCAGUUUAUUAUUAUUGCUUGAAAAAAAAGACCCUACAUGUCUGUCUGUAAUGCCAUGGUUAUUUCCCUAUUUCUCUGCAAUUGCAUGUUUUUGUCAGAAUCAUUUGGUAUAUAUAUGUAUUUUAUUAAUGCAUACAGACACUGGGGUGGUAUUUAUACCAUUGGCAUUUUUCUUUGAUUAAUAACUGUGUGCAGUUCACAUAAAUUAUAUCCAUGCUUGCACAUCUAGAAUGCUUUUGUUUUUAAAGGUUAAUGUUCUUGAAAUAUAUCCAUCAAGAGAAAAUUAAUAUCCUUUCAACAUGAAUAUAAGAAUUCAAAGAAUCGUUGUACAUGUAUAAUUUUAGCUUCCUGUUUAUACGGCCAAGGCAUUAUUGUUGAACAUGUGACUUUUAUUUUUAUGUGCAUUAUAUAAUUGUGAUGUGCGAUCAUUGUAAUUAAAUUACAUGUGAAGUCCUCCGCACACCUUACGAUUGGUCUGCGGCCCGAUAUUGGAGUAAAACGUAGUGGAAUUUGACGCUAAUAUUGAAACAUAGAAUAUCUUACUGUGUAAUGUUCUAAAUCAUCAUACGAAUACCUAUAUUCAAAUCUGUGUCUAUGUUAUAAUCCUUAUUAGAAUAAAAGCGAAUUUAACACCUAGUCAUAUGACGUCAUACAUGUUGCAAUUGUACAAUUGGCUGCGAUUUUAAUCUGGCCUUUACUCCAAAUUAAAAGCUUGCAAAAUUGUGAUAUUACUUAGUAUUCUUUCAGUUAAUAUGGGCCUCAAGUAAAAAGACACUUUUCAUUCACAUUGUCAGAAAAUGAGCAAAAUGAGAUUUGUUUCAAAUUCAGAUUGUGGACCAGUCGUAAGGUGUGCGGUGGCCUUAAACAAAAAUGUAA